AAAAUUAUACUUUCAGCAAUCAUCUCUAUAGUUUGUUACUAGAGAAGCUUCUGUGAAUGUGUAGAGCACCGGAAACCACAAGGCAAAGGCUCAGCAUUCUCUCCUAAGCGCGAAGCUGGCUCCUGGUGUUGGUUGGCCGCAACUGCCAUUUGCCAUUGAUGAUCAUUCUUCUCUUCCUGUGGUAGAGGAAGAGGGAGAGAAUGCAGUUUGAGUGGU
ensembl:snoRNA U3 Small nucleolar RNA U3